UACGAAGGGGGCGAGCGUUGUUCGGAUUUACUGGGCGUAAAGGGCGCGCAGGUGGCUCAUUUUGUCAGGCGUGAAAGCCCCGGGCUUAACCUGGGAACUGCGUUUGAUACGGAUGGGCUAGAGUUCGGGAGAGGAGAGUGGAAUUCCCAGUGUAGAGGUGAAAUUCGUAGAUAUUCGCAAGAACACCAGUGGCGAAGGCAGCUCACUGGGACGAUACUGACGCUGAGACGCGAAAGCGUGGGGAGCAACAGGG
rnacentral:rRNA from 1 species